rfam:Triticum aestivum genome assembly, contig: Triticum_aestivum_CS42_TGACv1_scaffold_030513_1BL
CUUGUACUCCCUUUGUCCGAAAAUACUUGUCAUUGAAAUGGAUGUAUCUAGAUGUAUUUUAGUUCUAGACACAUCCAUUUUGAUGACAAGUAAUUCCGGACGGAGGGAGUACUUG